rnacentral:tRNA from 1 species
GGAAAUGUGCCCGAAAACUAGGAAUCUCCUUGAUAGGGAGAAUAAUAGGGGUUAAAAUCCCCUCGUUUCCU